CCGAUCGUGUACACUUAUGUAACACAAUAAAAUGAACGUCCCACACACUAUUACCACCAAAAUAACCCAUACAAUUAUACAAUAGUUGACAUUAUUCAUGCAGUAACUGGAUUGUGCACUCAUAUUAAUACGGGUGUGAAAACCGUUUAUUUGGUACCUUUGACCCAUUGCCAAACAGAACACUAAAGCGGUUAUAAUGUCUUGAUUUCGCGUCUUUAUAUUGUAGCGAGUGCCUCCAUGACGAUAACAUACACAAAUAACAAACAUUAAUAACGUCUUUACCUCUAGCCACAAGCUGUGAAAGCGAGAGUUGGAUGACGCUAGCGCUACUACCGAGUUUCUUGUUUUGAUUCUGUCUAUAGUAUCGUAUACUUGGAUUUCGACAUACACGCCAGGUUAGAUUGAAGCAACAUGGGAGAAGGUCAAGGUGAGGGUAGUGGGGCCGGUAAAGCCGGAAUUUGUCCAGGAUUAUUAUGGGGUAUAUUAUGGUUUCUGAUUCUAUGGUUCAUCGGAUGGCCGGUUGGUUUCUUCAUCGCAUGGCUCUACGUGUUCCUGAUACCAUUCUCAGCCUGUAUAGAACCUUUAAAGGGUGUUUGUGACGCCAUCUUAAAAUUAGUGCAGCUACCUCUAACCUGUGCUGAGAAUAUGAUCGCUAUGAAGCCAUUGUGUGGUUAACUUUUAAAAAGGCUAGUUCCGGUAAUGACUUGUAUAUUGUUAUUUAGCGCUUUUCGUAUCUCACUCACACGUACUGUGUAUAAACUCAUACUAAUUUCUGCGGAUUGAAUUACAUUAUAGAUGUAUAAAUAAAACUGCCACGAUGUGCCUAUAUUUAACAUAGAACCUAAUGAAGUAGUCUCUAUUGACAACGGUCCCAGAUCCUCCCCCGUACGUUCAAGACUAGGGGGUUCUGGGUGACCAAGACUACUACUAAAGUACAUUUAGAUGAUGGGAAUACCGGAUUGUUAUGGAUUACUAUGGAUACGAAUGCAGAAAUUGGACAAUAUAACUCAUAUGCAACUUCAUCUACAUAAACUUGCAUACCCAUUUUCAUCUUAGAGGUGUAAAAGUUAUUCUAUGAAACUAUGAUCAAAUUGACAAAAAAAGGAACAAAAUUGUUUUCAUUUUCAACGUUAAAGAUACAUUAGUUCAGAGUUGGCCAUUCUUGCUUUAUUAAUUCAAAAAUAAAUGAUAAAAAAAAAGAGAAAAUAUUGAAAAUUUCAGUCAAAUUACUUUAUUCUGAACGAAGUGGUCACUGCUGGAAGUUUGUGCUAGAAAUAGGCAUCAACGGUCUCCGCACCGUCUCGGAGAAUUGCCGAUCGUUUGACAGACGAUAACUCCACCCACAUAUUCUCGAUUAUCAAGUAACAUUCUCAGUGACUACGGUACUCUCGAUUGUCAGGCCUUUAAUCGACAUUCUCCGGUGGUGACGUCAGUGAUUAACGGUAAAUGUUAGCUUCGUCAGCCAUUUAUUGAUUUAAUAAUUAAAUGGACGACUGUUUAAACCCAAGCUGUAUCCAAGCCAACCGAGGGUCUACAGAGUUGAUUUAGGGCUUGAAAUGUAAAUAAAGAACUAAUUAAUAAUUUCUAUAACAUCUGAAGCCUAAAGACCUGCAGUAGGCAGAUUUAGCUCUUAACUAAUGUAUCUUUAAACAUACAUUAUGACGUCACAUUAAUAAUGACGUCAAUGUAUUAAUCAUAUCAAACAUACAUUAUGCAAGAGCUACAUCUGUCUAUUGCAGGUCUUUCUUUAGCCCUGAAAGGUUAUCUAAAUUAUUAAUUAGACAUUAAUUAACUUAUCCAGACCAUAACCAACUCUAGGUGUUAUCGCUAGCCUGCGAUAUAUUCUGGAUUUGAAUCCGAUCUGCUACUCAACGUUCAUUCAUGAUUAAAUCAAAAAAAUGAUUAAUCGAGACUAUCUUAUUUUAUCGUACCGACUUUAGUAAUGAUGAUCGAGGCUAGGCCGAGAAUUCAAUCGCUAAAUUCUCGGUUCAGAGCGAAUCAAUUCAGCAAAUUUAUUUUACAUUAUCUAGUUUUUAACUAUUAUAGUGAGAACUGCCAGCUCUUUAUCUAAUCUCCCAUAAUGUAUUUUUAAUCUAUAGGAUACCAAAUAAUAGUUUAUUACAGAGGAAUUAUUAGUGUAAAGUACUGGUUAUAUAAUACGAUCGUUGAAUGGAUAGGUUUAUGUUGUAAAUUAUAUAAAUUAAUAAUUAUUGUUAAAGAUAAUAUCAUUUAUCUGUAGCUUAGUUAUAAAAACAAUUAUAUUUAGAUAGUUCGGGA